rnacentral:rRNA from 1 species
UACGUAGGGGGCAAGCGUUGUCCGGAUUUAUUGGGCGUAAAGAGCGUGUAGGCGGCCAGGUAGGUCUGCUGUGAAAGCUCGAGGCUUAACCUCGAGAUGUCGGCGGAAACCAUCUGGCUAGAGUCCGGAAGAGGAGAAUGGAAUUCCCGGUGUAGCGGUGAAAUGCGCAGAUAUCGGGAAGAACACCCGUGGCGAAGGCGGUUCUCUGGGACGGUACUGACGCUGAGACGCGAAAGCGUGGGGAGCGAACAGG